CACGUAGGGGGCAAGCGUUGUCCGGAUUUAUUGGGCGUAAAGAGCUCGUAGGUGGCUUAGUAAGUCGGGUGUGAAACCUCCAGGCUCAACCUGGAGACGCCACCCGAUACUGCUAUAGCUUGAGUCCGGUAGGGGAGCGUGGAAUUCCUGGUGUAGCGGUGAAAUGCGCAGAUAUCAGGAGGAACACCAGCGGCGAAGGCGGCGCUCUGGGCCGGUACUGACGCUGAGGAGCGAAAGCGUGGGGAGCGAACAGG
rnacentral:rRNA from 1 species